AGUGAACGCUGGCGGUAGGCCUAACACAUGCAAGUCGAACGGCAGCACAGUAAGAGCUUGCUCUUACGGGUGGCGAGUGGCGGACGGGUGAGGAAUACAUCGGAAUCUACUUUUUCGUGGGGGAUAACGUAGGGAAACUUACGCUAAUACCUCAUACGACCUACGGGUGAAAGCAGGGGAUCUUCGGACCUUGCGCGAUUGAAUGAGCCGAUGUCGGAUUAGCUAGUUGGCGGGGUAAAGGCCCACCAAGCCGACGAUCCGUAGCUGGUCUGAGAGGAUGAUCAGCCACACUGGAACUGAGACACGGUCCAGACUCCUACGGGAGGCAGCAGUGGGGAAUAUUGGACAAUGGGCGCAAGCCUGAUCCAGCCAUACCGCGUGGGUGAAGAAGGCCUUCGGGUUGUAAAGCCCUUUUGUUGGGAAAGAAAAGCAGCAGGUUAAUACCCCGCUGUUCUGACGGUACCCAAAGAAUAAGCACCGGCUAACUUCGUG
rnacentral:rRNA from 1 species